rnacentral:tRNA from 1 species
AUUAGGGUGCCUGAGGUUUAAAGGGUUAUUCUGAUAUUAUAAUUCACGUAUUAUUACCCCUAAUA